rnacentral:rRNA from 1 species
CCUACGGGAGGCUGCAGUGGGGAAUAUUGGACAAUGGGCGAAAGCCUGAUCCAGCCAUGCCGCGUGUGUGAAGAAGGCCUUCGGGUUGUAAAGCACUCUCAGUGGGGAAGAAAGCCUUGGGGCUAAUACCCUCGAGGAAGGACAUCACCCACAGAAGAAGCACCGGCUAACUCCGUGCCAGCAGCCGCGGUAAUACGGAGGGUGCGAGCGUUAAUCGGAAUUACUGGGCGUAAAGCGCGCGUAGGCGGUCUGAUAAGCCGGUUGUGAAAGCCCCGGGCUCAACCUGGGAACGGCAUCCGGAACUGGCAGGCUAGAGUGCAGGAGAGGAAGGUAGAAUUCCCGGUGUAGCGGUGAAAUGCGUAGAGAUCGGGAGGAAUACCAGUGGCGAAGGCGGCCUUCUGGACUGACACUGACGCUGAGGUGCGAAAGCGUGGGUAGCAAACAGGAUUAGAUACCCCAGUAGUC